UUACGAGCACAAGCUUAAAACUCRAAGGACUUGACGGUGUCCCAUCUACCUAGAGGAGCCUGUUCUAUAAUCGAUAUCCCCCGAUUUACCUCACCACUUUUAGCCUAUCAGCCUGUAUACUUCCGUCGUAAGCUUACCAUAUGAAUGCUAGUGAGCAAAAUGAUUUAUACACCCAUACUUCAGGUCAAAGUGCAGCCAACAAAGUGGCAAGAAAUGGGCUACAKUCUCUAUACAAAACAAACAAAAAACCACAUGAAAACUGGUCACAAAGGCGGAUUUAGCAGUAAGGGAAAAAUAAANAUUUUCCCUUAAAAUUGCCCUGGGACUUUUACACCCGCCCGUCCAC
rnacentral:rRNA from 1 species